AUAAAUCAGGAUUUCUAACAGAAUAACAUGAUGUACAAAGAGGUAGCACGCUCAAUCGCAUCCACCAAUUAAAAUAGUCACGCCCAUAUUAGUAAAUACAAACUAUUGGUUCCUCGGAAAUUCUUCCGCAAAUCAGGAUUUCUAACAGGAUCACAUGACGUACGAGGAGGUAGCACGCUCAAUCGUAUCGACCAAUUGAAAUAGUCACGCCCAUGUUAGUAAAUACAAACUAUUGGUUCCUCGGAAAUACUUCCCGCAAAUCAGGAUUUCUAACAGGAUCACAUGACGUACGAGGAGGUAGCACGCUCAAUCGUAUCGACCAAUUGAAAUAGUCACGCCCAUGUUAGUAAAUACAAACUAUUGGUUCCUCGGAAAUACUUCCCGCAAAUCAGGAUUUCUAACAGGAUCACAUGACGUACGAGGAGGUAGCACGCUCAAUCGUAUCGACCAAUUGAAAUAGUCACGCCCAUGUUAGUAAAUACAAACUAUUGGUUCCUCGGAAAUACUUCCCGCAAAUCAGGAUUUCUAACAGGAUCACAUGACGUACGAGGAGGUAGCACGUUCAAUCGUAUCGACCAAUUGAAAUAUUCACGCCCAUGUUAGUAAAUACAAACUAUUGGUUCCUCGGAAAUACUUCCCGCAAAUCAGGAUUUCUAACAGGAUCACAUGAUGUACAAAGAGGUAGCACGCUCAAUCGCAUCCACCAAUUAAAAUAGUCACGCCCAUAUUAGUAAAUAUAUACUAUUGGUUCCUCGGAAAUUCUUCCGCAAAUCAGGAUUUCUAACAGGAUCACAUGACGUACGAGGAGGUAGCACGCUCAAUCUUAUCGACCAAUUGAAAUAGUCACGCCCAUGUUAGUAAAUACAAACUAUUGGUUCCUCGGAAAUUCUUCCCGCAAAUCAGGAUUUCGAACAGGAUCACAUGAUGUACGAGGUGGUAGCACGCUCAAUCGUAUCGACCAAUUGAAAUAUUCACGCCCAUGUUAGUAAAUACAAACUAUUGGUUUUGCGGAAAUACUUCCCGCAAAUCAGGAUUUCUAACAGGAUCACAUGACCUACGAGGAGGUAGCACGUUCAAUCGUAUCGACCAAUUGAAAUAUUCACGCCCAUGUUAGUAAAUACAAACUAUUGGUUCCUCGGAAAUACUUCCCGCAAAUCAGGAUUUCUAACAGGAUCACAUGACGUACGAGGAGGUAGCACGCUCAAUCGUAUCGACCAAUUGAAAUAUUCACGCCCAUGUUAGUAAAUACAAACUAUUGGUUUUGCGGAAAUACUUCCCGCAAAUCAGGAUUUCUAACAGGAUCACAUGACCUACGAGGAGGUAGCACGUUCAAUCGUAUCGACCAAUUGAAAUAUUCACGCCCAUGUUAGUAAAUACAAACUAUUGGUUCCUCGGAAAUACUUCCCGCAAAUCAGGAUUUCUAACAGGAUCACAUGACGUACGAGGAGGUAGCACGCUCAAUCGUCUCGACCAAUUGAAAUAUUCACGCCCAUGUUAGUAAAUACAAACUAUUGGUUCCUCGGAAAUACUUCCCGCAAAUCAGGAUUUCUAACAGGAUCACAUGACGUACGAGGAGGUAGCACGUUCAAUCGUAUCGACCAAUUGAAAUAUUCACGCCCAUGUUAGUAAAUACAAACUAUUGGUUCCUCGGAAAUACUUCCCGCAAAUCAGGAUUUCUAACAGGAUCACAUGAUGUACAAAGAGGUAGCACGCUCAAUCGCAUCCACCAAUUAAAAUAGUCACGCCCAUAUUAGUAAAUAUAUACUAUUGGUUCCUCGGAAAUUCUUCCGCAAAUCAGGAUUUCUAACAGGAUCACAUGACG